CCUGGAUGUGAGCUGCAUCCUCUUCCCAGAAUCUGGGGCAGGAAUGUGUCCUCGGAAAGACUGUUGAAUGAGAAGGCUGAAGGGUAGCUGGGAGUGGGGGCCAGAGAACACAUGGAAAUGAAGAUCUCAGUGAAAAGUGUCUUUCUUCACAUUUACUUUUUAAGGCUGACCUUGAUUAUCUUCCAGAGAUAUUGGCUAAAACCUUGUGAUGGAGAAAUAUGGAAUUCUUCUUACACUGGUUGCUGUACUCUUACAAACAUCCUCCAAGUUUUAAUUCUAUGUGCUGAGAACUGAGCUUGACUGCGUUUGAUCCCCCUAACACCAUUUAUAACACUGAGCGUUCUUCUUCCGUGGCCACCAAGCUCGAACUGGGAAGGGCCGGUGUCCCUAGGACCCAUGACUGGUAUCCAACAUUCAUACCCCAGGGUAGGCUCAGCGAACAGCCGUGCCUCUAUUGCAUGUUUUACUCUCGGAGUCUCUGUGCAGCGCCUUAACCCUGAUGGAAACUUAAGAAUCCUGCGUUCAAUGAAUAGUGAACUCUGUGGUUGUGACAUCAGCUCUGGGUCCCAGUCUACAUUCCGUGGCAGCCUGGCUCCAACAUCCCAGGGAAUUGUGUCACUCCCAUUGAGCAGCUGUGGGGCCCUCUCCCACAUGGCCCAGGUCCACCACUCUGUCAAAGGUCGCACAGCCCAGACAAAAACAGGACACAGCAGUGUGUGAAUGAGCCGGGCUUUCUCCUUCCCUCCACGUAAUAGAAGGUGCCUGAGGUUGUUGAAACACAGUCCAUUUCUCCUGGGAAUGACAAGAAUUUGAGGGAUGCUGACUUUCAAGGAAUACUGCAUGACAGGCAUCAAGAUAAACCUGAUGAAGAAAACAUAGGCCAGAAUCUGGGAAUCGGGAGCAAAGUAAUACAGCUUCGGGGACAGGCACGUAAUGAGGUCAUGAUGUAGGAGACUCCCUGCAGGACUGGCGGCCCCUGUUCCCUGGGUUGUUCUGGCUCUUUCAGGUGAGAGAGAAGGAUACAGACAGGAAAUGGCACUUCCUAGAAGGGCAACCCUCUGUUCCUGGGGUGUGUGGCAUCUUCCAGCGUUGGGUCUGAGGUUCUAGGUAAGCCUUUACCUCAAAGACAGCCACAUAUUGCUUUCUCAGUGAGGCCUCCCACGAGGCUGAGAACUGCAAUGAUUUUUGCAAAUAUGUCAGUCAUUUGGAUGGUAUUUUAACAGGCUGUUAGUGGAGGGUAGGUAAACCAAUGUCUAAAUGAAAAGGGAAACUCUUGCUGCUAUUUUUAAAGAGAUGUUUCCUGAACAGAUUCUGCCCGGCUUGCCCAGGAGGGCUAGCCUGGAUCCACGCUCCUCAACCUGCUCCUCCUCAGUAAAAAUGUUGAGAGAGGUGUAUUUUUUUUAUGAUUGGCCAUAUGGCUCUAUUAAGUUCAGAAUCAAAGAUAUAUUUUUUGACUUAUCCAUAAGAAGCAUAAGAAAUUUAAAUAGGGGCCAGGCGCGUUGGCUCACGCCUGUAAUCCCAGC
rnacentral:lncRNA from 1 species